UACGUAGGGUGCGAGCGUUGUCCGGAAUUAUUGGGCGUAAAGAGCUCGUAGGCGGUCUGUCGCGUCGGUCGUGAAAACUUGGGGCUUAACCCUGAGCUUGCGGUCGAUACGGCAUGACUGGAGUUCGGCAGGGGAGACUGGAAUUCCUGGUGUAGCGGUGAAAUGCGCAGAUAUCAGGAGGAACACCGGUGGCGAAGGCGGCAUCCUGGACCAAAACUGACACUGAAAAGCGAAAGCCAGGGGAGCAAACGGG
rnacentral:rRNA from 1 species